rnacentral:lncRNA from 1 species
CCUUGUCAUUUUACAGCUGGGAAAACAGCCAAAAUGGAAGAUAGGGGAAUGGGCAUAUUUUACCUAAGGUAAACACAUAGUAAUUUCUUGAUAGACUAAAGAGGCACUUUACCUUUAAGAAGCAGUAGAGAAAUGGAUGAACAAAACAAGUAGGUCAUCAGCUUCCUAGGCCUUCCUUUCCCAAGAUGAACCAAUUCUGGGGAAUAAUGUUCGUUCCAAUCUGCCUUAAUGGCUCUUUGGCAUGUCAAAGGUCCUCUGGGGUUGUGCCUGGUCUUGGGAGCCCAAGUGACAAUGUUCACCACUAUGUUAUUGAACAAUUUUUAAGGCAUAUUAUUUUAUUUAGCCCAAAAAGGUUAAAAUGAUUUGAUUUGCCUAAGUUCCCAAAGCCAUGUGGGGAAGUUGACAGAUGAUGUGACCUCAGGAAGAGAGAAGAAAGCAGGUUAGCAACGUAGUUUGUAAUCCAGGAUCGUGCUUUGUUCUGAUAUGGAAACUCUGAGGGCUUCCUCAGUUACUUCCCUGCUGUCCCCAGGAUGGAGCCCAAGCUCCUUGGGAUGGUGUCAAGAACUUUCACAACUGGGCCAACUUUAUCUUCUAGCCUCACCUUACCUCCAUUUCCCACCGAGCUCCAGCCACACUGGCCUACGGGGUGUUUCCUGAACUCACUCUGAAAAUGCAGUCUCCUAUGCCUUCUCUUGCUUUCUCUUGGUGAGCUCUUAUUCAUCCCUCAAGGCCUGGCUCAAAUAUCACCUCUGUGCUAGCUGGGUUUAGUGGCUCAUGCCUGUAAUCCCAGAAUGUUGGGAGGCCAAGGUGGGAGGAUCACUUAAGGUUGGGAGUUCGAGACCAGCCUGGGUAACAUAGCAAGACUCCCAUCUCUUAAAAUAAAAAAAAUCACCUCUGUGAAGCCUUUCCUUACCCUUUUCUGGGCUUACUACUUUUGCCUCCUGGCUCUGUUGCAGGGCCCAUUACAUUGUUAUAGCCCACUCUUCUGUCUAUUCCUUUUCUUUGUGACAGAGAGAGACUCCAUCUCAAAAA